AGAGAAAAGAAAAUUAAAAAAACCCAGCCACUCGCCCUCCCAAAUCCUCUCGACCUCCAGCGUGCCAGCACCUCCCGCCCCGCCCCAGCGCGCCGCCACCUCCCACUCCGCCCCAUCUUAUCGAUGCGUUCGGGCAGGGCGCCGCCGCCGCCGCCAGCCACUCGCCCUCCCAAUCCCAUCUCGAACUCCACCGCGCCUCCACUCCCGCCCCGCGCCAUCUUACCGAUGCGUUCGAGCAGGGCGCCGUCGCCGCGCGUGGCCGCGCGGCCAGUUUUCUUCUUUGUCUAUCCGUUCUGGGGGCGCUCGACAUCGCCGUGCCGCCGAUCUGCCGGCUUCGCCGGAACUCCGUUUGUCAGCAUCUUCUCCACCCCUUGGUGAUGAGCGGCUGAGCCAAGGAGCGGAGUCAGGCGCCGCCGCGCGUACAUGCCGCGUUCGUGCGAGAGUGGGGACGGUCUGACAGGGGAUGCAGACUUGGUUGGGGAACAAGAGCACGCGAAGCUAGGAGCAGGGGCCGAUCGAUGGGCAGCGCGAGGACCUCCUACUGGGUUGUGAGGAAAUCAGUAUAAAAUCUUUGUUGUCGGAGUUCCCUUGGAACUGCGCAGAAGAUGGGGUGAUGGAUUCAGUGUCAAGAUUCAAUGAAGAUCCAUCUGUUCGUGGCCUGCUUGUUCACCCACUACUACCACAAGCAAUGUAUUUUAGGGUAUGUUUGGUUCUUGCCUAUAGCUGCCCUGCCAAUAUUGGCUUGCCAAUUAUUUGGAGUGGGAUUCCAACGCCCAGGGUUGGCCAAAGAUUUGGCAAGAAUCUGUGAAGGAAGCAACAAUGGACUUUGUUGGCAGCCAAAUAUUUGGCAACAAACCAAACAACACAUAAGGAAUUUGGCAUGACCAAUAUUUUGGUAGGGUAAGUUGGAGGCGUAAACCAAACAGGCCCUUACUUUUCUGGAUGCAGCCCUAGAAAGGAAUUAUGUUUGGUUUAGUUCAUAGAAAGAUAUAUCACAAAAUCCUUUUUGUUUACAUACUAACUGAAUAAUACGAAGUAUUUUAGUUCUCAUGGUAAUAGACAAGCAACUUCAGUAGUAUUUGAUUUGAGUUUUUGUUUUUAAGUAUAUGUUUGGUCAAGAUUCAACUUUCUUUAUGUCCAUGUUUUGCUGGUAUAAUGCAUCAUCAAGCUUUGUUUUAUAUGAUGACAUUGUGUAAAUCAGCAUAUGGAUGAGGAAAGUAUUCUGAGCGCAGAUGCUCGCCGCCGCCGCUGCUUCUGACAACGUGUGAGCCGCCUAAUCGAGCGAGGAUUCGCCGCUCAUCCUAAGAGGACUCGCCGCUCUUCCAUGACGCCGCCGCUGCAACGCGGCGUUGUUCCAGCACCAAAUCGCAGAUGCAUCUUUGCAAAUCCAACAAAGUGGUGGGAAUAUCUACAACAUGAAGUUUCUCAAGCUGAUAGGGCAUUCUUCUGCAUGUUUGUGACAUGAUCAUGGUGCACAUAUAUUUAAUAGUGAAGGUCUUCGGCUAUCACUAUGAAUGGUUCUGCUGUUGUGUAAGUGAUUUCUUAAGUGUUGUGUUGUAACACAUUAGAGUAAAAGAUUAAUUGUGUAUGAAGAAUAAUAUUACGGAGUCAGGCACAAUUUGACCUUAGUUCUGACCAAAUUAAUCUUUAUUUGUUUGCUAGGUUGUGUGUCAAACAUCACUUCAUGUUGUAGUGCAUUUUUUCCUUUCAAAAUCCACAUUAUGCAAUUUGGCUUUAUAAGAAGUUUCACUUUAUUAUUAGUGGAGAACGGGAGAUACGGAAAGGGAAGGGAAAAACAGUAAUUCUAGCAACUAGCCAUUGUUCCGUGGCAAAACACAGGUGUUUGUUCUAUUAUGUUCAUCGGAAGUCUUUACGGAGGAGUUGGGUCUGGGUGAGUGACAUAUAUUUGCUUGAGGUCACGAAUUCUUUUCUGCUGUUACUUGCAUCUUACUUGAUUUUUUUUUCUUUAAGUUCUUCAUGUUUUCCCAUAUCGUCUGCUCUAUAGAAGCUGCUACCUCAAAUUAAGUAAGUGCAUCCUUCUUUUUUGUCCAAGUUUGUUCUAUUCUAUUACUCAGAAGUCUGUACAAGACUGAGAGACUGAAGCAUAUUUGCUUGAGAGUUGAAUUAUUUUUGGAUGUCAGGUUUGUACGCUAUACUGUUUGAUUAAUGAAAACUGAUAAAAGUAGUGGCAAACACUUGAUUGAGUAAGCUACUGGAUUUUACCAGUAAUACACAGUAGUUUCUUGCAAUAUUAUCUGCAUGACAAGAAACAUCCAUAUUUGAUUUUGCUCUGUGAUUGGUUCAAAUAUCACUUUUUGGGCUAAAGCUGAUUGGAUACGAGUAGUAGUGUCAACAGUAAUAACUUGAAACAUGAUUUUAUCAUGGCUCUAAAUUUUAUUACUGAUGAUUUCUUUCAGGAUAUUUGUAGAGGCUAUUCGCACCGUAGUUCAAGGCAGAUGAUAGAGUACAGGCUAGGCAACUCACUUAUAUUGGUACUCGUUUAAAUGGUUAUCUAUUCUGCCGGCAUAGUUACAUGCCAUAUUAAUUUCAGAAGAACAAUUUCUAAUUUAGUGUUGUGCUUGCAUUCAUUGUUAUGUCUAAAAAGAAAAUUCCAAACAAAAACAAAUAUAAAGUCACAGUUUGUCUUUACACACUGGAUAAUGAAUGUUUCAAUCGCGCUAAAUUGAACCAAGGCUUUUAGAAUAAAUUGUGGCCUAUAAGCUUGUGUGUAGUCAAUUACUAAAUGUGUAAUAUUAGCACAUAUUAGCACGACUAUUUCUUAAGUGCAGCCAGCCACCAAUUUCAUUUGAUUUGAAUUAAUAUAUUACUUAUAUACUCAUUUAGAUAUUUAUUUAUGUCCUCGAUGGAUUGAUUUGAACGCCGCAAUUUUAUUACCCCAUUGCAACGCACGGGCCCUUUUGCUAGUAAUAAUAAAGCAUGGAUUGACUUUAUCGGGUUCACCGUUACAAUACGCUUUCUUCUCAUGUCAUAAUACGUUUUUAUAAUUUGUAUUGACAAAAUCGUAAUAUAAAUGAGGUGGUACUAAUAACAUGUUCGUACGUGGCCAGGCCGAGCCAAAUCCCCCUAGCCGCCGCCGCACCACUCCCGGACGCGGCCGACCUCAACUCGCCCGCCGCCGCGGCUGCACCUCUGCCCGCUCACGAGCCUCCACCCGCGCGCUCAGCUCUGGGACACCCGCGACGCACCGCGCGCGCCCUCCGCUGCCAAACUGCGCCGGCUGCGCCGACCGCCGCGCGCCGUCGGAUGGCGGCGGUGGACCCUCUCUCAUGGAGGAUUACACCGGCUGCCCCGCGCUAGCCGAGAUCAUCCGCAUCCUCUCCGUGAAGCGCCAUCGUCGCGGGAGGACUUCGUUGCCUGGCUCGCCGACAACUUCAUGACGAGGCCCGCGUCCGCUUCUUCCCGUGCGACCUCCUCGACGGUGCCGCCAUGCUCGCCGCCGGGCGCGGCUGCUACGGCAUCUUCCACCUCGCCUCGCCCUGCACCGUCGACCGCGUCCUGGACCCCCAAGUACUGCUGCUCCGUGACCGUCCUGCCGUUAUUCCUUCAGAGUUUAGACCUCUCAGUACGGGGUGGCGUCUGUCUCAUUUUGUGGUUGCAGAAGGAGCGGGUAGCGCCGGCCGUGGAAGGGACGCUCCAUGUGCCUUCCUUGGAGCCGGCGCCGACCGGCCUGUGCCCCCUCCCCGCUGCACAAAAUUUGCUUCUUUGUCCCCACUUUGCUGCAAAAACUCUGUGCCUCUGCUACGGCCAUUCUUCGCUCCAUGGCCUUCCAUGAAUCUCAACCCUGGCAACUGGAGUAUGUUACCUUAAUUACUUGCUGUACAACUGCAGUAUUUCUAAAACAAUUUCCAUGGCUAGCACUCAGGUUGAAUUACUAGCUGAGUUUUGCAUAUAUGCAAUCACUUUUGCCUGUUUUUGGCCUUUCACCCUUCACUUUUGAAGCAAUGAAAUCUUUAAUCCUGAAGAUAAUCUUCAGCGUUCAUGUUCAAGUGUUAUAAACUCAGAUUUCAGUGUUAAUGUGCAAAUGUUCAUUAACACUAUUUGAAAUCUGAGAACUAGAAAUGCUGAAACCUGAAAACUGGAAUCUCCAGUUAACUGAAUUUUUGAACAUUUAAUCUUGUCUAACUAUUUGUGAGGUUUAUUGGUGUUUCCAGUAGAUAAAACCUAACCCUAUGUAUUUAUAAAUGGAGCAGAACUGUAUUUAUAAAACUUCAGAGAAUAUAUUGUUGUCUUCCUCGUAUUCUUUUAUUACUGGAGCCACCAUACAAAACUCUCUGGAGCAGAACUGUAUUUCAACUAUAAAUGACAGGAACAGAACUUUUAUAUAUUUGUUGUGAGUACAACUUGAGAGAGUUUCAGAGAAAUAAAAGAAAGCAACUAAAACUUCAGAGAAUAUAUUGUUGUUUAUAUAAACUGAAUAUUAUGUACUGUCAAUAUUCAGAAGCACAGAAUAUAUUGUUGUUUAGAUAAACACAGCUGCUUGCUGGUAUCUCCACUUUUCAGCUGGGCUUUGCAGUUAUCUCAGUUUCUAUCUUUUGUUGGCCAGAUGAUUCCGCCAAGGAUCAAUGCUAGCAUGGCCAUGUUUCUUCACUUGAAGGGUGGACCAUAGUGGCUUCACUGCUGGCGGAACGGCAGAGGGCUUGGCUGCUACCAGGGUGAUUCAAAGGGAGUAUAUAGGUAGAGUUUUUGCAGCCUCUUGCACAAACAUGAUUAAUGGUAGCUUCUAUUCCAUGACAUGAUUUUGCAGCUAUAAUGAUAUGUUUCAUGCGAGAGGACAUAAACUUGCAUCAUAUUUUUCUGUCCAGUUAGUUCCAAAUUACAAUGUUUGUGCUAUCAGUACAAUUCGGUGGAAUAAGACGAGUCAUAUAUACACCCAAUGUAAGCUUUCACAUCAGCCUUUGCUCUUGAUUGUCUUUGCAAGUCCAUGGAUAUAAUUUUUAGGAUUUUCCUUUACUCAUAGCAAGUGAUGAAUGUUUUGUCCUUCAACCCUUUAGGUGUAAAUACAUGUGAUGUGGCUAGCAAAGUUGGUAACACGCACAGUAUAACCAUUAUGAUCUGCACAGGGAUAUCACCUAGGUGCAUAAAACAUAAUCAUUCAGUUUUUAUUUGGCAAGCUGGAGCUACCCGGAACUUUCGAUUUGGUGCCAAGAUGGAUGGAUUCAACUAAGUGACCCACUAUCAGGUCAUAAAUCAUUUCUUUUGUUGAAGGAAGAGACUCCAUUUUCUGUCGAGGACCGAAUGGCACUAACCAAUCGGCUUACUUGGUUAGAAGAAAUUGAGAAAGGGGAGCAUCUUACACCUAAUAGGAAGCAGUGGUCUAAUCCUAAUCUCACCCAAUAGACGUACAUUACAACAAAAUUUUCUUACAUGCUGCCGCCUAUAUUUUUUCAUUACUAACAUAACCUUUUUAGAUCACCCGCAAAAAAACCCUUUUCAGAUCAAGUGUGUCUUGCAUUACAUUUGGUCAACUAUACUGCAACUUCAAACCAUAAUGCCUCUGUAUGUUGACUGUAUUUUUUGGAAUUGAAUUAUGUAUUCAAAGCUAUUGUUCAGCAUAGACACCGUUUAAAAAUCAUACAAGGGGCACACAAAAUGUAUAUGUACUCUUCUGUUUGAAUCUCCCCCUAAUAAUAAAGCACGGAUUGGGUCUUCGGGUUCACCGUCGCGGCGUUUUUGCAAAGAAGUCCCUGUGCUUUUUGAUAAUUAACCUGCAGUACAGUUUUGACUGGUGAACAAAGGGAAAACGUUUCGUGUAUUGGCUUGGGACUCGGCUUGGCCUUUAGGGAAAAAAUAUAGCACGGCGGCCUGUCCUCUCUGAGUACGCACAACAGCACGGGUCCUCUUCCUGGGGACGGCACGGCAGCGCCGCCAUGAAUCAAGCCGCCGCGCGCGGCCGGUAUACCUUUCCCGCUACCCUCCAGCACCGCGGCCGUUGCCCUUUUCUUCCCCUCCUCACCCGCCCCAACUCCUCACCCCCAGCCUCCUCGGCCUCAACUCGGACGUCUCCGAUUUGGAUAGGAUUCGACGUCGCCACGCGCGGCCGGUCUUCCUCUCUAGCUAUCCUCCAGCAGCGCCGCCGUUGCCCUGUUCUUCGCCUCCUCACCCGCCCCAACUCCUCACCCCCAGCCUCCUCCGCCUCGAGGAGGACGGCUCCGAUUUGGAGCUCAAGUACUGCCUCCUGACACCUCCAUCCCCAAGUACGUCCUCCCGUCAGACGAGGACGAGAUUUGGAUUGGGGCGCAACAGAGAUGAGGAAGGACAAAGCAUGAAUAGCUCCAGUGAGAGUGAACGGAUAUGAACACCACAACCCUCUCAGGGGUUGUUGGCUGAUCAGGAUACCCAAUUCUCAAACAAGCAUGCUGAGAUGCUCAAGAUAUGGAAGUUCGCCCACAAGCUCGACCGCCAGGUUUUUUUGGUUCAUGUUCAAUGGGAGGCGAAUAGUGUAGAGAGGGUAUCUGAUGCAAGUCCAAGGUAAACAUUUGUUUCUUUUAUUGUGUUUAGGUGAACAUGUCAAAGGUGCAGAUGGACAUGAUGAAGCCGUGAAUUGUCACGCAAGUCACUGAGCUUCUUGGGUUCGAAAAACUACCUAACUGCUAUUAUCCUGAAUUUAGUUUUAUCUAAACUAAGAGGACCACAUGUGCUUCUCUAACAAAGAAUUACUCAUUUGGUGUUCUUUUGCACUGCUGAUUUUAGUUCAAAUUGGUGUGAGUGCGACCUUUUUGUCAUGUUGGAUAAGGCUUUCUGUAUCACAUGGAUGUGACCUGUAGUAUGGUGUAGAAAAGUGAUGAAAGGUAUUAGUUUGAAUUAAUUUGGCAGCAAUAGUUUAUCAAGUUUUUGCCAAGCCAGCUAUUUGUAGAAUUUCUGCAGCUGUACUUUGUGCCAUCUCCCUCAUGUAGAUAUAUAUAUAUAUACUAGCAGACUAGCACGUAAAUUAUUUACAUCAAAACUGAGACAUAUCUAUAUAUGAUGGAGGCAUUUCUAGGCAUUUUUCUAUAGUACCCGUUGCAACGCACGGACAUUUGUGCUAGUAUAUGUCUAUAAAUGGAUUAACUGAGCCAAAGGCGGUGCCUUUUUCAUACGAAUAUAUGUGUACCACAUCUUUCAGAUAAUCAUAUAUGUUUGCCGGCAGAUUAUAUAUGCAUUAAACUACAAAAUUUAUUUGUGCGACUUGAUACCAGAUAUAUACAGAUUGCAUGUCUCUUAGGGCAUCUCCAAUGCUAAGCGCCAGUGGUGGACACUAGGGUAGCUGGAGUAUUUCCCGAUAGAUCGCCAGCUACCUUAGUUGUUCCCCGCCCCGCGUCUGAUGCCGCAUUAUUGAUGCCAAUAGAUGCAUCGAGCGCUUGCUUUUUCCCUGGACAUGUGAGUAAAUAAACUAGGAGCCGGCCCUACGUAUUUAGAGCCCGUGAUAAGCGUCUAGCAUUCGAGAAGAAGGCACUUACUUUUUUUUUGAUGUUUUUUUACUCUAGGCUCCUGCACAAGAGUAGCAUUGUAGAUGCCCUUAAGCUAUAGGCUCUCAUAGUUGUUUUACCAAUCACAAAUAAGCAACCAAUGAGGAAAUAGUACAAAUUUAGAGCACAAUACAUCAUGAUCUAUUGGAAAUUACAUGUUCUCUAUUUAACAUAUCAACCAGUCAAAGUGGCCAUCUUGCAUUGACCUUGAAAGUGUGAUUUUUGGCCAGACCAGCGAACGAGGCAAGCAGGUUGAACUCAAAUUUAAGCAUAUAGUUAAUCCAGCAUGAUCCACUAAAAAAUAAGUUAAUCGAGCACGAAACAGUACAUUGAGUCCGAGCUUUGUUGACGGCCCUACCGGCUGGAGACCCCGAGACCAGCACUGAUGCCACUGAGUACGACUACAUCACCGACGACCCCCCUUUAUCAGAGAAACCAGG